GACGAACGCUGGCGGCGUGCUUAACACAUGCAAGUCGUACGAUCACCCGGCUCUUCGGCGCUUGUGAUUAGUGGCGAACGGGUGAGUAACACGUGUGUGACCUGCCCUUCACUCUGGGAUAAGCCCUGGAAACUGGGUCUCUUACUGGAUACGACCUGUUGCCGCAUGGUCUGCUGGUGUAAAGCCCUUCGGGGUUGUGUGGGAUGGGCCCGCCCCCUAUCCGCUUGUUGGUGGGUUGAUUGCCUACUAAGGCGACGACGGGUAGCCGGCCUGAGAGGGUGCCCGGCCACACUGGGACAGAGACACGGCCCAGACGGCUACGGGAGGCAGCAGUGGGGAAUCAAGCAGAAUGGGCGAAAGGCUGAUGCAGCGAGGCAGCGUGAGGGAUGACGGGAUUCGGGUUGUAAACCUCUAGGGGAAGGGAAAAAGCCUGGGGGUUGUCUACUGGGUGAGGGUACCUGCGGAAGAAGCACCGGCUAACUACGUG
rnacentral:rRNA from 1 species